GGAGGCGUGUCCGAGUGGUUUAAGGAGACAGUCUUGAAAACUGUUAGGGGGGAAACCCUCUCGUGAGUUCGAAUCUCACCGCCUCCG
rnacentral:tRNA from 1 species